rnacentral:rRNA from 1 species
GACGAACGCUGGCGGCGUGCUUAACACAUGCAAGUCGAACGAUGAAGCCGGAGCUUGCUCCGGUGGAUUAGUGGCGAACGGGUGAGUAACACGUGAGCAAUCUGCCCUUGACUCUGGGAUAACUGCGGGAAACUGUAGCUAAUACCGGAUACGACACCUUGGGGCAUCCCAGGGCGUGGAAAGAAUUUCGGUCAAGGAUGAGCUCGCGGCGUAUCAGCUAGUUGGGGAGGUAAUGGCUCACCAAGGCGACGACGGGUAGCCGGCCUGAGAGGGUGACCGGCCACACUGGAACUGAGACACGGUCCAGACUCCUACGGGAGGCAGCAGUGGGGAAUAUUGCACAAUGGGCGAAAGCCUGAUGCAGCAACGCCGCGUGAGGGAUGAAGGCCUUCGGGUUGUAAACCUCUUUUAGCAGGGAAGAAGCGAAAGUGACGGUACCUGCAGAAAAAGCACCGGCUAACUACGUGCCAGCAGCCGCAGUAA